rnacentral:antisense_RNA from 1 species
AGGAGCCCCGGGAAAACCUGGGGGAGAAUGGGCAUCCCACCCCAGCACUUUCUAGGAAGAAGGGCAACAUUUUGAAGGGCUGGAAGUAGAGAAAGAAGGUUGCGGGUAGAAGACUCCAUACUUUCUGUGACGCCUAUUCCUUAGGUAGGAACUUAGGAACCUCAGGAGAGCUUUUAUAUAACCAAAGAUAUUUUUGGACCAUGAAUUCGGAAAUUCUCGGAGCCACCCAUCAAUGCCUGAGCUUCAGUGAGUCCAUAUCCCAUGUCACCUACGGCAAAGGAGAAUCUGAGACUUCUGAAGAGUUUCUUGCUUCUUUCCUGUGGGGCAGUGACUCCACUUCCCAGCAGUAAUGGAAUAUCCUGAAUUAGCUACAUUAAUGUUAGAACCAUUUGGACCUCACCCAGGACUUCAACUACAUUGUGAGUAACUCCUGGACGACUGGCACAGAAGAAGGCACAAGGCAAAUACCCAUCUCUGUACACCCUGUGCUACUGUGUCAUGUGCUGCUCCAGGCAACUCCAAUGGAUUGGCCACCCUGGCCAAUGUGUUCUAGUAUGUUAGGUUUAUGUUCCCCUGCUUUCUACAAUCCUGUUCAAAGAGUUGCUGACUUAACCACAGAGAGAAUUCCAGAACAUGAGACACAGAAUAAACUUGAACAAUCAUAGUCCAUCCACUUCAUUUUCUCAUCGAAAACCAAAGGUCCAGUGAGGCUCUGGAACUCGACGCUGUAAAGGAGCGAAGGAGC